rnacentral:rRNA from 1 species
AGCGUAGGCGGACUUUUAAGUGAGAUGUGAAAUACCCGGGCUCAACUUGGGUGCUGCAUUUCAAACUGGAAGUCUAGAGUGCAGGAGAGGAGAGUGGAAUUCCUAGUGUAGCGGUGAAAUGCGUAGAGAUUAGGAAGAACACCAGUGGCGAAGGCGACUCUCUGGACUGUAACUGACGCUGAGGCUCGAAAGCGUGGGGAGCAAACA